rnacentral:lncRNA from 1 species
UGAUUUCGACUAAAGAAAGCGGACCAGACCUCCAUAGAAAAAUAAACAAAAUCAUGUAACAAAGUAAGCCUCGCUGUUAGGAUACAACUCACUAUUAAGAUGAAACUUCAACAACAAGAGGAUAAAAGAGUGCUAAUAUAGACGUGAUCUUUUGAUUUUGGAUCCAGAAUCCACAGAGCAAAACGAAGAAUGUUUUGUCUUCAUUCCACUUGAAAUGUAUAAACUUUACAUAAAGAACCCAUAUUCAAAAAUCAUAAACCAGAGUUUAACCAUCAAAUUUAGUAAACCGAAC